UUUUGCCGCACCUCAAGUUUUCGUUCGCAACUAAGUCUUCGUUCAUCAUUUCUUCUUUACAAAGUUCGCCUCGACUUCUCCUUUUUCUCUUCGCAGGCUUCGCAUCUUGUCUUUUCCAACCUUCUCGUCUUGAUUUUUCCAUCUUCACAGCCUUUUCUUCCGUUUCCUUAGUUUUACUUCGCAAUCCCUAAUUUGAUAUACAUGCUUCUCUUUCUUUUUCGAUUUUGUUUCCUCUGCUCUAUCCUUUUCUAUCUUCUAUUUGUUUCUAUUCCAGUCGCCAUUUUCAUUCCCAUAAAUCAUUGCAUGUCUCUUUCUAUGCAUUAUUGUGAACUGAAACAGCCGGUAGUUGAAGCAGCCCCUUUGUCUGGCUCCGCGAGUUUUCUAGAGUGGUGCCUCAUCAAUGGUAGUUCAUUUUAAAGAAUUAGCAAAUAAGCAUUGUUACUAAUGAUUUCCAGAAUAAUUCAUUAUUAUUGCUUGUGCAGAUUCUAGGGUAUUCCCCUUUAAUAAUAUAUUGGAAAUUCAAUCGGCAGAAGUAUUCAUGAUUCGCAAUAACGCUAAUAUGAAAAGAUUUAUCCUCAUCAUUUUGAAACCUCUAAUUAUUUUUUAGUUUAUCUAUCAUCUACCUAAUCUGUCAUUUCUAUGACUUUGAAGCAUCAUAUAUUAUGCUAGUUAAAAGGAUUCAUUUUAUUUUUUUGCACGUGCUGUUUGUGUGUUCAGUAGUAUAUAGUGUGGUUGCAGCUGUUUGUGCUAUAUAUCAUAAAGGCAAGAUAUUUCAUUUACUCUUCUUUGAACACACAGAGUUGGUUUUGGUUUUGAGCUCUUUUAUCUUCCUUUUAAUGUACUGCAAUAUGUGUUAUUUUUUGUAGUGUAUAUCUCUGCAUACCAUUACAAACACUUCUUAAGCAGAUCCAAAUUAUGGUGUUAUUGAAUCCAUAACUUUGAAGUUUAGACAAAGUUAGAAUGAGUUUUACAUAUCAUGGAGAGAACUGUUUCCAUGUUCAAAUUUUUUAUAAGAAUGGAGUGGAGAGGUUAUGCCUCAAAGAAACAACACAGGAAAAAAAAGGUAAGUAACCUGUGUUAAUUAUCUGACAAAUUUGAUUUGUCCAAAUAUUUUGAAAGGAACAAUAUGAAACAACAUUGCAGAUUUGAUGUUUGUGUUCCCCUUUCCCCCAACAUAUCUCAUUUUCUUAAACUUUUGUUUGAGGUUUGGGAACAGAUAUGCCUUGCGGAAACAAAGGCUUCAUUUUUACUGGUAGUGAGACAAUGAAAACAGGACAAAAACAAACUGCCACCCCAAGUUUGGCAAAGAAGAACAAAGAAAGAAAAUUUUCUCCUGAAAAGUCUCAUCAAGAAGUGAUAAGUCUCAACUUGAAAGAGUACAAAUCCUUGGAAAUCAUGAAUCACCCCUGUGCUCUAUAGAUUUAAAUUAAACUAUGAAGAGUUUUUGAGAAUCUUGACAAAUGAAGAGCAACAACAGUUACUAAAGUUACUUCCUGGGGUUGAUACUGCUAAAAUUCCUGAUAGGCAAGAUAUUAAAUGCAUUCCAGGUGCUGGUGUAUUAUCAGGUAUAUUAUAAAAGAAGUGUGCCAAAUGAAAGAGGCAAUGAAGACAAUGAAGAAUAACAAAAUUGAUUAUUAUAAUUUAGAAAAUGUUUAUUUUAAUUUUUAUGAUUGAACAUGUUAUUUUUUAAUUUUAACAAUUAAUUGUAUUUCUAACAUUUAUGGUUUAUUUUAUAUAAUAAUAUUUAAUUUUGAUUUCA